rnacentral:rRNA from 1 species
GAUGAACGCUGGCGGCGUGCCUAAUACAUGCAAGUCGAGCGAACAGACGAGGCGCUUGCUCCUCUGACGUUAGCGGCGGACGGGUGAGUAACAUGUGGAUAACCUACCUAUAAGACUGGGAUAACUUCGGGAAACCGGAGCUAAUACCGGAUAAUAUAUUGAACCGCAUGGUUCAAUAGUGAAAGACGGCUUUGCUGUCACUUAUAGAGGGAUCCGCGCCGCAUUAGCUAGUUGGUACGGUAACGGCUUACCAAGGCAACCAUGCGUAGCCGACCUGAGAGGGUGAUCGGCCACACUGGAACUGAGACGCGGUCCAGACUCCUACGGGAGGCAGCAGUAGGGAAUCGUCCGCAAUGGGCGAAAGCCUGACGGAGCGACGCCGCGUGAGUGAUGAAGGUCUUCGGAUCGUAAAACUCUGUUAUUAGGGAAGAACAAAUGUGUAAGUAACUAUGCACGUCUUGACGGUACCUAAUCAGAAAGCCACGGCUAACUACGUG